UGGAUAUGGAGACAUAUAAUUUUAGGGGCAAUUAUAUGGUACAGAUUAAAGGAUACAGAUUGAAUGGGAUGUUGACAAGUGGCGAGGAUGGUGGAUGCAGGGGACAUGCUUGGCAGAGCUCUGCAAGCUUGCCUGCCAAUUUUGUUGAUGGGGGA